GUACAGAGGGUGCGAGCGUUAAUCGGAAUUAGCUGGGCGUAAAGCGCACGUAGUCGGCUUGCAAGUCGGUUGUGAAAUCCCCGGGCUCAACCUGGGAACUGCAUCCGAGACUGCAUUGCUAGAGUAUGGGAGAGGAAGCGGAAUUUCUGGUGUAGCAGUGAAAUGCGUAGAUAUCAGAAGGAACAUCAGUGGCGAAGGCGCUUCUGGACCAAUACUGACGAGUCAGGUGGCGAAAGCGUCGGGGAGCAAACAGGAUAGAUACCCGAGUA
rnacentral:rRNA from 1 species